UACGAAGGGGGCUAGCGUUGCCGGAAUUACUGGGCGUAAAGCGUGCGCAGGCGGCGCGUUAAGACAGGUGUGAAAGCCCCGAGCUUAACUUGGGAAUUGCGCUUGUGACUGGCGUGCUGGAGUGUGGCAGAGGGAGGUGGAAUUCCACGUGUAGCAGUGAAAUGCGUAGAGAUGUGGAGGAACACCGAUGGCGAAGGCAAUCCCCCUGGACCUGUACUGACGCUCAUGCACGAAAGCGUGGGGAGCAAACAGG
rnacentral:rRNA from 1 species